rnacentral:rRNA from 1 species
UACGAAGGGAGCUAGCGUUGUUCGGAAUCACUGGGCGUAAAGCGCACGUAGGCGGAUGUGUCAGUCAGGGGUGAAAUCCCCGGGCUCAACCCGGGAACUGCGUCCGAUACUGGCAGGCUUGAAUCCGGGAGAGGGAUGCGGAAUUCCAGGUGUAGCGGUGAAAUGCGUAGAUAUCUGGAGGAAUACCGGUGGCGAAGGCGGCAUCCUGGACCGGCAUUGACGCUGAGGAGCGAAAGCCAGGGGAGCAAACGGG